rnacentral:rRNA from 1 species
UACGGAGGAUGCAAGCGUUAUCCGGAUUUAUUGGGGUUAAAGGGUGCGUAGGCGGCCUGUUAAGUCAGGGGUGAAAGACGGUAGCUCAACUAUCGCAGUGCCCUUGAUACUGAUUGGCUUGAAUGGACUAGAGGUAGGCGGAAUGAGACAAGUAGCGGUGAAAUGCAUAGAUAUGUCUCAGAACACCGAUUGCGAAGGCAGCUUACUAUGGUCUUAUUGACGCUGAGGCACGAAAGCGUGGGGAUCAAACAGG